rnacentral:lncRNA from 1 species
CAAUUGAUUUGGUUUGGUAAUUAUAAAAUCCGAACCAACCCGAUCUAUGUACACCCCUAAAAAACCCUUGUAAUUUUGAAACGUUAAGAAGUACCUAAACCAUGAUAGUGACUUCAAUUAUCACACACUGCACUAUUAUCUCGAGUUCCAAAACAUGCCCUAGAAAAAAAUAUUAUUCACAAAAUUAAAUACUAUAAUCAAUCUUGCUAAUGAUUCUUUUUAUUUAUUUUCUUUUUGAGACCUGAAAAAGUACGGAUACAAAGAAAAAGAAGACAAACGACUUGCCCUAAUUAGUUUAUGAAAUAUUAUCUAUUGCAUUUCGAAACAAAAAUUGUUGGGAAUAAACCCUCUAUCAAAAUAAUAUUUAUGGUAAUAAAAGCGGAAUAAUAAUGUAGCACUGAGAUACGGUAAUUAACAAGAAUAAAAGAGUAACAAUGACACCAAGAAUUUUUUACGUGGAAAACCCUUCUGAAUAAGGGAAAAAACACGACCCUGAGAGGAGCAACUGAUAUCGCUAUAGCAAGGAAUUUUUACACUUUGUAGGUCCGAGAAAAAUACUUCAAAGACCACUGCAACACUCAAAGAAAUAACCCUCUUUUGAAAUUCCACCUCACUACAAUAUCGCUCAGUCUCUAUUUUCCUCACAGACUAUUUACUUAUAAUCUGCUUGUGAAACCUUACUCUUUUUCUCUCUUUC